ACCCGCUGAACUUAAGCAUAUCAAUAAGCGGAGGAAAAGAAACCAACAGGGAUUGCCCUAGUAACGGCGAGUGAAGCGGCAACAGCUCAAAUUUGAAAUCUGGCGUCUUUGGCGUCCGAGUUGUGAUUUGCAGAGGGCGCUUUGGCAUUGGCAGCGGUCCAAGUUCCUUGGAACAGGACGUCACAGAGGGUGAGAAUCCCGUACGUGGUCGCUAGCCUUUACCGUGUAAAGCCCCUUCGACGAGUCGAGUUGUUUGGGAAUGCAGCUCUAAAUGGGAGGUAAAUUUCUUCUAAAGCUAAAUACUGGCCAGAGACCGAUAGCGCACAAGUAGAGUGAUCGAAAGAUGAAAAGCACUUUGGAAAGAGAGUUAAAAAGCACGUGAAAUUGUUGAAAGGGAAGCGCUUGCAGCCAGACUUGCCUGUAGUUGCUCAUCCGGGUUUUUACCCGGUGCACUCUUCUAUAGGCAGGCCAGCAUCAGUUUGGGCGGUUGGAUAAAGGUCUCUGUCAUGUACCUCUCUUCGGGGAGAACUUAUAGGGGAGACGACAUGCAACCAGCCCGGACUGAGGUCCGCGCAUCUGCUAGGAUGCUGGCGUAAUGGCUGU
rnacentral:rRNA from 1 species